rnacentral:rRNA from 1 species
GACAGAGGGUGCAAACGUUGUUCGGAAUUACUGGGCGUAAAGCGCGUGUAGGCGGCUCGGAAAGUCGGAUGUGAAAGCCCUGGGCUUAACCUAGGAAGUGCAUUCGAAACUCCCGAGCUUGAGUUCUGGAGAGGAAGGCGGAAUUCUCGGUGUAGAGGUGAAAUUCGUAGAUAUCGAGAGGAACACCGGUGGCGAAGGCGGCCUUCUGGACAGUGACUGACGCUGAGACGCGAAAGCGUGGGGAGCGAACAGG